GGUGUUGCAAGGUCUUUGAAUUGUUCAGGAGGUUAGGAAAUUAAUUUGUCAUAGACUCUGAAUAAGUGAAGGGUUUCACAUUGUAAAUCUCUAGGGCUACACUCUGCUACAGUUGACGUUGGCUGCAUGGAGUUACUGAGAACUUAAAAUGUGGCUAUUCUGAGUUGAGAUGUGCUGUGAUUAUAAAACACCAGAUUUUGAAGACUUUGAAGACUUAAUAUAGAAAAAGAGAAUGCGUGAGCCACUGCACCUGGCCCUCAGGAUCUAAUUUUUAUUAGCAUUUAAAAAAUAAAUUAUAGCCAGGCUUUGCUAUGUCUGCAGCAGAUUAGACACAGAAAGCCUGAUUUAAAAAGCUGAUAACACCAAGUGUUGGCAAGGAAGCAGAGAAACAAGAACACUUGCACCCUGCUGACAGGGCUCUAAACUGUUCUAGCCAGUUUGGAAAAUGUUGGCAGUAUCUGCUGAAGUUGAAUAGUCUCCAUAAGAAUCAAAAGCUGGAAACAACCCAAAUAAUCAUUAAGACGUAAAUGGAUAAAUGAAUUGUGAUAUAUAAGGUACUACAAAACAAGCAAAAAAAAGAAUAAACUGUUGCAACAUGCAGCAGCAUGGAUGAAUCUCACACAUGUAAUAUUGAGCAGAAGCAGCCAGAUGCACAGGAGUCUAAACUAUGAUUCCAUUUAAAUGAAGCCAAAACAGUGGUGAGAUUAAUCUAUUAUGAUGUCAGAAUAGUGGUUAUCUUUAGGGGAACUGAGGGAUCCUUUCUGGGAUUCUGAUUCAUUCUGUAUCUUGAUUUGGGGGAGGCGACUACAUGGUAUAUUCACUUUGUGAAAAUUCUUUUAGCUGUACUUAUCAUUUGGGUACUUCAUGUAUAUUGAGC
rnacentral:lncRNA from 10 species